UCUUUCUCCUUUAGGAAAUGUGACCGGAUCUGACCGAUUUACAAAAAUAAACUGUCUGAAACGAAAGACAUGCAACGAAACCAAAAAUAAUUAUAAUAAUAAAAAAACUAAAAUAAAAUUAAAAAGAAAUGUUGUUUUUUUUCCUCUUUUCCUUUUUAGAAACUCUGUUUGCAGAAUUGCGUCAGUGCUGCAAAAGCCUCAUGCUUUUAGCAGUGAAGCUGGCUGCUAUUACGUACUGCCCUGUUAUUGAUCAUGCAAUAAGAAAUAUUAAGUGAAAGGUAUGCUAUUUACAGCUCGGUUCACUAGUAAUUACACAUAUACACAAUAGGCAAGAAAAGUUCACAUUGAAGUCAGUACCGCGGCUCGGUACCUCGCCUACUCUCCGCUGAUGGUCCGCGCCGGUCCAAUGAGCUGCGGCCCGGGGGACAGGACGGGAAAGCGGACACACGUCGGGCUGAGUCUCACUCGCAGCUUCCCCGGCCCGGUUUACCAGCGACCGGACGGUUUUCUGUGAAAACUCGCCUGUGCGCCCUACUCUGCACAGCGCCGCUGCGGACACCAUCCGCAGGCCAGCGUCUCCGGAGACCCACAGUUGUGUCGGCGAGCCAUAUGAAGCGUCAGCGAGGAACUGAAGGAGGCCCACCUGAGUCCGUAGAGGACCGUGCCGUCAGGAUGCAGCCGGAUCAUGCGGUUCUUCACCGUCACCCCGUGCAGGAAGGACUUCUUGUCGUUGAGAAAAUUUCCCCGAGGGAAAUCCUCAGCCAGUGCUCCACCCGGCAAAAAAGGAGGCAAACUUAACAAGAGGUGUGGCUGCCGCCUCACGAAAAUAGUAUUAUUGGGGCAGAUUUCAAACCACGUGUAGAAAUAUGAGUCAGCUUUUCUUAUCAACUCUUGCCUUUCACCAUAAUUCUCUUAAUUUUGACUUAUGUUUUUUUUUUGCCCACAAUAUCUAAUGAGGAUGGCAGACGUAGAGCCCGCAAGCUGAAUCUGAGAAUUAUACUGCUUUGUGAUGCAUCAGACCGUAUGUGUUUGGAUAAUGUGCCUGGAUCUUCAUGGCAUUGUCCCACUAUCUCAUCACAGCUCCGCUGAUGGCGGCAGAGCCUAUGAUUCACAUCCUUAUUGCUUCCAACGGCUUAAACAAACACAUUGGCAUCUCCCACGUCUCUUCUGAGUAGCUGACUGCUCUUUAUAAGGAAAGAGCAGAAUGACUGGCCAACACAUCCUACAGCAGUGUCCAAAAAAAGCAGGAGUGUGACUAUCGCUACUCAUUCACAUUAGUCAUGUAAUCUCGUGUAAAAAAAAUAGAAGGUUUAACGUUUCAGGGAAGGCCUGCUUGGAGAUCUGUGAUAAUUCACACAUAACCAGCGGCCCUGGACCAUACCAGCUCAAGUCUCGAGGAUAAUCUGAAGAUGUUUAAGAUCCUUAGAAGUCUUACGGUGCUGGGUUGUCAACUCCUUGCCUCCCAAUGUUGCUGUGACAUCAGUAUAAACGCAGUGGCUCAGAGGCCCAAGUCGAUUUUUUUCCGUUUGUUGUUUUGUUUUGUUUUUUUUGUUUUUGUUUUAGAGUUGGCGAUGAUGCUAUGCUAUGCUGAAAUUGCCAGGAGUCUUGGUCCACGGGUCAAAACAAUCUCCACAUGUGGGAGACGAAUGUUUAACGAGCUGGAUUGAGUCGCCGACUGCAUACUCACCAUGUUGACUUCUGAGAUGGAGUCAAUGCUGGCGAUGUUGAUGCUCAUUCCCACGAUGACUGGAGGACCUGGUGGAGGACAAGCAGAGCAUUGACACCAUCACUUCCCUCCUGCCACAUGUUUCCCGGCAACACAUAUUGGAGGACAUGCUGCUUCUCUGUGACUCAUUCCAGCUCCAACCUUCCCAUCAACGAACAGCUGUGGAAACUCAUGGCUUACCCCAUUUGUGGACCUGUGACCCCGCCCCUCUCUCCCGGCCAAUGACAUUGGCUUCCUGCUAAUUAAAAUCUAUAGAGCUAUAACCUA